rnacentral:rRNA from 1 species
UACAGAGACCUCAAGCGUUAUCCGGAAUCAUUGGGCGUAAAGCGUACCGAUAGGGGGUUUUACAAGUCAGAAGAGAAAUCUCUCAGCUUAACUGGGAGACUGUCUUUUGAAACUGUAAAACUAGAAGGGCAAAGAGGAAGCUGGAACAAACGGUGUAGUAGUGAAAUGCGCAGAUAUCGGGAAGAACACCCGUGGCGAAGGCGGCUCUCUGGGACGGUACUGACGCUGAGACGCGAAAGCGUGGGGAGCGAACAGG